rnacentral:rRNA from 1 species
CGCCUUUUGUUGAAACAUAAAAGGUCCAGCCUGCCCAGUGACAAAGUUCAACGGCCAUGGUAUUAUGACCAUGCGAAGGUAGCAUAAUCACUUGUUCUUUAAAUAAGGACUAGUAUCAACGGCAUCACGAGGGCUAAACUGUCUCCUUCCUCCAAUCAGUGAAACUGAUCUCCCCGUGAAGAAGCGGGGAUAACCUUAUAAGACGAGAAGACCCCAUGGAGCUUUAAAUUUAUAAUUCACCUUUUCAUACACCUACACCAUUAAACUUACUUAGACCUGAAUUUUAAUUUUAGGUUGGGGUGACCACGGAGUAAAAUAAAACCUCCACAAUGAAAGGCCACUGCCUAAUUCAAGAGUAACCACUCUAAAAAUCAACCACUUGACAUUUUAUGAUCCAAUUAUUAUUGAUCAACGAACCAAGUUACCCUGGGGAUAACAGCGCAAUCCAUUUAGAGAGCUCCUAUCGACAAAUGGGAUUACGACCUCGAUGUUGGAUCAGGGUAUCCCAGUGGUGCAGCCGCUACUAACGGUUCGUUUGUUCAACGAUUAAAACCCU